UAUGCGUGGAAUUUGCGAUAAAAUUGGAGAAGAAAACUCGGGGUGAGGAGGGAGAUUUCGUGACACCGAGACUCUCAGACUUGAUGAUCCACCAGAGACUUCCUGAACGUCGAACCGAGCACUUGCGAAGUACCCACAUAGUCUAGUGUUGGACUUUUUCUUAAUUCCUCCAAGAAAAGCAAUAGACAAAAUGGACCAGAGAGAAAUAGACGAGAGGGCGAAGAACUGGAACCCAAACAACAAAGCAGGAGGCGGUUACGGGAGUCGCCCUCGCGCAGACGCGCAGCAUUCAUCAACCGAAAACCGGGCAAUGCAGUUGAAUCCAAACAAUCCACGUUUCCAAGGAAAUCAGCGGGAUCAAGCCCAGAAUAAAUAAACGCCCAAGAUGGACCUCAGCUUUUUAGCCACGGAUAAUUAUCUGCUUCAAUUUUUUUUGACGUUCCAUCAAUUGACAACUUGUACUUGCAUUAUUACUGCUACUACUACAAUUUUGCGUGAAUAUUUUCUAAAUCUAUAAAUACAGCUUAUUUGGAUGACAAUACAUAUUUUUUUAAAAAAAUAAAGCACCUUGCAAAUCCUCA